rnacentral:rRNA from 1 species
UCGUGGGUGGAUUAGUGGCGAACGGGUGAGUAACACGUGGGCAAUCUGCCCUUCACUCUGGGACAAGCCCUGGAAACGGGGUCUAAUACCGGAUAAUACUUUCUCCUGCAUGGGGGAGGGUUGAAAGCUCCGGCGGUGAAGGAUGAGCCCGCGGCCUAUCAGCUUGUUGGUGGGGUGAUGGCCUACCAAGGCGACGACGGGUAGCCGGCCUGAGAGGGCGACCGGCCACACUGGGACUGAGACACGGCCCAGACUCCUACGGGAGGCAGCAGUGGGGAAUAUUGCACAAUGGGCGGAAGCCUGAUGCAGCGACGCCGCGUGAGGGAUGACGGCCUUCGGGUUGUAAACCUCUUUCAGCAGGGAAGAAGCGUGAGUGACGGUACCUGCAGAAGAAGCGCCGGCUAACUACGUGCCAGCAGCCGCGGUAAUACGUAGGGCGCAAGCGUUGUCCGGAAUUAUUGGGCGUAAAGAGCUCGUAGGCGGCUUGUCGCGUCGGAUGUGAAAGCCCGGGGCUUAACCCCGGGUCUGCAUUCGAUACGGGCAGGCUAGAGUGUGGUAGGGGAGAUCGGAAUUCCUGGUGUAGCGGUGAAAUGCGCAGAUAUCAGGAGGAACACCGGUGGCGAAGGCGGAUCUCUGGGCCAUUACUGACGCUGAGGAGCGAAAGCGUGGGGAGCGAACAGGAUUAGAUACCCUGGUAGUCCACGCCGU